CCAGUGUUUGCGCGGCAACAUACCCUGAACCCUGAUGCAGCUACAGCAGAUCCCAGGAACUAAGAGCUUGAUAUGCAGACCUCCCAGGAACUGGAUAGGGGGGCUCUGCAGCAGACAUGUAUCCAGUAUAGAAACAAGGCAAGGCUAGGAUAGUCACCAAACACGAAAACAAGACUAAUAGAACCCAGAACCAGAGCAGGACAGAAAGCAGAACCCAG